AUGUUUCAAGCUGUCUGAACUUGCAGACUACUGUUGUCUGCCAGCCUACUGUAUUCUAGGCCAUACGUACAUCUCUUUGAAGCAUUCAGUAUGUUUUGAAUAAACGCUGAUGCUUACUGCAGCUUUUAUUGAAUCAACAUGGAUCAUGACAAAAUUAAAAUUAGUAUUCUAGGUAUUCUGCCUACCCUAACAGAAUCUAAAAUGAAUGAUUUACUCAAUGUGCUGGAACAGUAUGGAGUAGAGAGUGAGAAGAAUCUUGAUCCAGAUUUGCUGGAAGAAAAAGAUCUUGUGCCAUGCUUACAACUUGUAUAUGUAAGAAAGCUGCGAAGAGAAUGGAGUAAGACAGGGGCCAACUCAGUAUUAGUACAAUCUGGAAGUGGUGCUGGUACAUCAAGUGAACAAAAUACAGAUAAUGAAUUUCUUGAAACAAACACUGGAGUUGACACGUCCAUUGUAAAGUACGAAGAGCUAAGCUUAUACAGAAAGCUAUUGAGCUGUGAGAAGAUAACACCUAACAAAAAAAGACUGAUUGUGCAUGAAAUAUGUGCAAAAAUAUCAGUGAGUUAUGGGAAAAAGAAUCCGGGAAGAAGAGUAUGGCAUAAUAUUAGCAAAGACAUUGUACACAAGUUUCCUCACCAUUUUAAAGAAGUCGAUUUAGAUGGGG